CGGUGGGAGCGGGGCUGGGUGACCCCUGCAGAGCGGAGGGGUCUCGGGACGGGCUGGGGGAUGAGGGGUCUUCAGGCGGGAUAAGGGGUCCCCGGGAGAUGGGGGAGGGGCUGGGGGUGCUUGCCCCCCCACAACCCUGUUGCCUUGCAGACACCAAGGAGAACCAGAGCGGGGUGGUGAUGCUGCCCGGCCUGGAGCAGGCCGAGUACGUGCUGAAGGGCUGCUCGGGCGAGACGGCGGAGAACCGCACCGCCAAGGUGUACGUGGGCGGCGAGCGGGAGGUCCAUGACACUUACUUCUGUGCCAGCGACCUCUGCAACGGGCCCUUCACUGGAGUGCCACCAGCGAGCGCCCCACAGCCCAACGGCAUGGCCUGUUACAGCUGCUUCGACCGUGGCACCGGCGACUGCGCCCCCGGCAACGCCACCGCCGUGCCCUGCACCGGCGACAUGACGCAGUGCAUGGACUUCACUGUGACGGACGGCGCCUGGCACCUGACCUACCGCACCUGCGCGCUGGAGACGCUCUGCCGCCAGCAGUACCAGCUGCCCCAGCUCCACGGCCGCCUGGACAUCAGCUGCUGCUCCGGCCCGCUCUGCAACGACGGCCGCCCAGGCCUGCGCAGCCUGUGCAGUCACU
rnacentral:lncRNA from 1 species